rnacentral:rRNA from 1 species
UACAGAGGUCUCAAGCGUUUGUUCGGAUUCAUUGGGCGUAAAGGGUGCGUAGGUGGCGCCGUAAGUCAGGUGUGAAAUUUCGGAGCUUAACUCCGAAACUGCAUUUGAUACUGCGGUGCUUGAGGACUGGAGAGGAGACUGGAAUUUACGGUGUAGCAGUGAAAUGCGUAGAGAUCGUAAGGAAGACCAGUGGCGAAGGCGGGGUCU